CAAGUUGCAGAGCUAGUUCAGUAAGGGACUUGGUUCAGUAUAUAAUUCUUGAUAUGUUUGUUGGUUCUUUCGCAGGUUCUUAUCGCAGUAAAUAGUGCCUCCAAGGAGAAAGCUCAGAAAUCCGCCGGAGAAGCAAUUGAAGACUUGGCCCACCCUCCGAUGAGAACUCUCUGACCUUGUUUCAGCUAUCAGUAUUAUUGCUCUGUUUGAUUGGUGACGAAGUGAAGCAAUAGGAAAAUGAAAUCUUGUUUAGGGGUUUUAGUGAAAUAAAUUUUUGGAGAGUGAGGGCGGUGAUGGAGCGGAGGGGGUCGGAGAGCUCAGAUCGAGUGUGGACGGAGGCGUUCUGGAGCUUCUCGGCGGUGGAGGCGGGGGAGCCCGAGGAGAGGGCGGCGCUGGUGUUCUCCGGUGGUUGCAGAGGAAGAGAAGAAGAAGAGAGGUCGAGGGAGAGAGAGGUCAGGGGAGAGAGAGAAGG